AAUUUUUCUAUGGCCUGCAAGAGGCUGCCUGCAAAUCAGGCUAGCAUGGUAAAAUUUAUUUUUAUUUUUUUGUAUUUGUUUAAGGGGACAGAUAGCUGUGGUUCACACUCCAACAUAGUAAGUGGCAGUAAUGCGCCUUAACGCUGGUUGCCAUAAAAACGAUAAAACAGCCAUAAAACGGAAAAAAGAAGAAGUAUCACACCCGCUCCACACCUGCCAUUUGCUCACUGGGUCAAGUUGCGCUCUGGGCUGGCAGGCCCGGGCGGGCCACAGAGAAACUCACUUUACCUAACAGCAAGCUUCAAAAUGUCCCGGUCGAAGCUAGAGAGACGUAAAGUUGGUUGUGAAAAUUGCCAAUUCUAAAGCGAAUAGACUGAGAGGUAUUUAUUCACUUUGCCAACUGCAACAAGUAAUAAACCGGUGUGUUUAUUGUGAAACAAAUGCAUUGCUGUGAUGAAAGAAUAUAACGUGAAGAGGCUUUACAAGUCAAAUCAUGGCUCGUUUUCUGCCAGUUUUGCAGAGGGCUUGGAGGAGCGGAGAAGGAAAGUACAGGGACUGCCAGCAUCUUUUCAAUGGAGUCAAGUGGCCCUUGGUCGCUUUUGCACGGAACAAGAGAGAGCCAUGAUAGUAUCCCUGCAUGUAGCCUGGACACUAACCAGAGAGAAGAGGCCUUUUACCAAGGUGGAAACCGUUAGAGAUUGCAUGCUUGCUGUCAUUGAUGAAAUGGUUGUUGAUGAAAUAGUUAAGGAAAGCGUCACUUCAACCAUUAAAAAAGUACCUCUCUCGGACACAUCAACUCUUCGCAGAGUGGAACUACUUGCAAAGGAUGUCUCAAGAAAGCUUUUGGAAAACCUUCAAAAAGCAGAGGUGAUGUCUAUCGCUGUUGGCGAAUCAACUGAUCGUACCGACAUGGCCCAGCUAUGCAUCUAUGUCAAGUUUUUCAACGGAGUGUGCUUUUGGGAAGAACCUCUGGGACUUAUUCCAUUGGAGGGACACACUACAGAUUUCUACCACAAACUGGUGUCAGAAGUGGGAUUGCUCGACUGAGGGUGUCUGGACUCGGAGUCGAAGGGGGCCGAUCAUCCUGAAGCCAAAUCUUCAGCCUCAACCUCGCCACAAGGACGGGUGAGACGGAGGGCCUAAAACCCGAGGCCGGACUCACUCAGCGCUGAAACCAAUGAUCCUGAACUGGUGAGAAUCUGGAAAUUGACUCAGAGAGAAAAAAAGGGGUACUAAAAUGGUUGAAAAUAUUAAUGGUGAAAUAAGAAAGAGAUUUUGAUCUACCAAUCAGGAAAGGGUCCCAACAGUUUUUUUAACCGAGGUUUAAUAGAAACCUGGAGGUGCACUGACGAGUCCACCUCAAAGAGAGUUUACUGUAAUCACAAUAGUGUGUGGAAGAAUUAUUACUUGGUAAUAAUGGUAAUUAUUACUUGUGUGAGGUAAGACUCAGAAAACGCACAUAGGAAACGUAGAUAAUUUCUCUGUUCUGAUCACCCUGUUUUGAUGAAAAAAAAAAAAUUGAGAAUUUGACAGUAAUAAGACACCAUACUGAAAUUGGUCACAUUAUUUUGGGUAUACUAACAUUGAUUAGUUUUCUGAUAUUCUUAACGGGUGUACUUUGGAGAUUAGUUGAACACAUAACUCAAAUCUCUUACUACAUUUUUUUUCUUUUAAUCUGCCAAAAUGGGUAGCGUUAACAAUAAAAAUCAUACAAAGUACAAAUAUGAUAAUGUGAUCCUGUCCGCUCCAAAUAUAAACUACAUGAGAGUGAACUAUGGUGAUUCAUCUGUGAAACAAAUAAUAAUCUGGACUACUGAAUGUGGCUUUCUGAGUACAGGAAGUUUCAGUAUCAGACAGCUAAAUCAGCUGAAGGAAAGACUGCAGGAGAAGGAAAAAAAGACUGAGGAUAAAAAGGCAAGAGGAAGUUCAUAGCAGAUUGGAAAGCUUUUAGUUUAUGGAUGAAAGAAGCACAAAAGAGGGACAGAAAAACACAGGCAGGGACAGAUAAAACCUCAUCUGUGUCUCAGUGUGUCAAAAUGCAGGAUUCUGAAUUCAACUGGGUGCUGCCCAGGAGACGCCUCAACCCGCCACAACAACAAGAUGAACCAGCAGCCCAAGCUCAUCAGACGCCUGAUCCAUGGCCAAGAGCUACACCACCUUAUAACUCUAACCUUCCCCCAUCUCAUGUUCCCCUCAUCUACCCUGAUACAUCUGGCUUACGACAACUUUUGGAUGAGGCCACAGCAACAACAAAUCAACAGGACAAAGCUGCCUCCCCUUCUCAUACCAGGUCUGGUCUGGUAUUCAAAAGAUCUCAAAAUCCAACCAUCGUCCCUGUGCUUUCAUUCAUCACCCCCCAUCUCCAGUGGGACCUGACAGAGGGAAACGUGGACUGGAUCCUGAAUCUCCCCAUGAUGGAGAGAGUUUCACCCAACAACCUCUGAACUGAGAUGGCUCCUGAUGGUAAAGAUGGGCAAUAAUUGGGCAAAGAUCUCAGCAGGAUAUCCAGAGAAUGAUAUGACACUGGCUAACCCCGACUGGGUGCAUAAUGACAACGCAGCCUAUAGAGUACACAUCACAGAUCUCUGUGAGCACAUCAAAGCAGCAUUCACUGUGAGAUUGGACAUGAGCAAAAUCUCCUCAUGUAAACAAGAAGAUGAUGAGAGUGUUCACAACUGUCUCACUCCUCUGACAGAAGUUCACAACACACACAGCGGGCUGACACCUACAGCUGACCUGAAUGAUAAUGCUAUUACAGCAUGGGAAGUACAUUUGAGAAACAGCUUCCUGAAUGGACUGGAACCUGAUAUUUCCUACAUAGUGAAACGUAUAUUCAUCACCUGGGACUAAACGCAAAUUAAGCCUCAUUGAAGCACAUGCUGUGCACGCUGAGAAAAUCCUCAAAGAAAGCCAAGUGAGGAAAGGAGAAAAGAAAGAGAAAGAUCUGCACAUUGCUGCAUUGACUAUGUUCCAAGGACAUACCAGAGGGCGCAGACACAGCCGUGGCAGAGGCGGACUUAGAGGUGGCUGUAGAGGAUGACACACAACUGAUCCAGAUUCUUGUUUUCAUUGUGGUGAGAGAGGACACUGGGCCAAAGACUGCGUAAAGAAAAAUCCAACUUUCAAGCACAAAGCCGAUUGACUCGGGGCUCAGGAGGGGGAGGAAUCAGCACCUUUAACUUUGACCACACUGAUGCACGAUGAGAGACAACCUACACAUCAGACAGUGAUUCAGGUUCCAAUUCUCUUUUUGACAUUCCUGUUUCAUAUCCACACGUGUCAAACACAGGGAAGGAAAAUGGCAAGAUUUGGGUCCAUGGGUGCCGCCUGAAAGUAAAUGGUUUUCAGUGGUCGAUUCGGCGAACGCAUUUUCAGUGUUCCAGUCCAUCCAGAGAAGGGUUUUGUGAAUCACCUACCAUCUACAGCGUUGCGUUGAAAGAAAGUUUGAGCUCAUUAAAGCUGUCACCAGGAAGAGCACUGUUGCAAUAUGUUGAUGAUUUCAUGGUGCCCCAACUCAAGCUCAGUGUGAAAAAGACACAAUUGCACUGUUGAAACAUUUGGAUAAAGAAGGUCAUAAAGCUACCCUGUCAAAAUUGCAUUUUGUACAACAAGAAGUGACAUUUUGGGUCAUGUGAUCACAUCAGAGGGCAAAUCCCUCUCCCCAAAAAGAAUAAAAGCAAUCCAAAACAUUCCACGACCAAUUACAAAGAAACAAGUCAUGUCUUCUUUAGGAAUGUGUUCUUAUUGCAGAUCAUUUAUUCCCAACUAUGCUGUCCUCGAGGUGCCCCUGAGCGCAAUCUCACACAGGCGAGGCCUGCAGGCACCACAGUAAGGUGACAUGGACUGCUGAACCAGAAAAAGCAUUUGUUGAUUUGAAACUUGCUCUCCAAACGACUCGGACUCUUGGAUUACCUGAUCCAAGUCAACCUUUCACCUAGACUGUUGACAAAAAUGGAGGAUGCGUGACUUUAGUGCUGCUCCAGGACCAUGGAGGCAGACAGAGACCUGUAGCUUACUUUUCAAACUUGACCCUGUAGCUGCAGGACUUCCUACAUGUCUGAGAGCUGUUGCGGCUGCAGAAAAAGCUGUGAUGGCUUCCAGGGACAUAGUGGGGUACUCUGACCUAACUUUGCUCGUUCCACAUGCUGUUUCAUUGAUUUUGCUCAAACAGAAAACAUCUCAUCUUUCUGCAGCAAGAUGGCUCCGUUACAACACUGUGUUGCUUGAAAUGCCUAACAUCACUGUGAAAAGAUGUAAUGUUCUUAAUCCUGCAACUCUUCUCCCCACAGAAGGUGAUGGAGAGGAACACAACUGUGUUGCCACAAUAAGUUUGUGCCACAAACAACAUUGGUAUUGGUAUUCAAACACCACAAGCAGCACACCCUCCACCAGAAAAAAACAUUUGAUCACUUACAGAUGGAUUUCAUUGAACUAACACCAAGUGGAGGAAAGAAAUAUUGUCUGGUAAUUAUUGACAUGUUUUCCAAAUGGAUCGAAGUUUUUCCCAUAGCAAAACAAGACACCGGUGCUGUUGCUAAAGCUCUUAUCAUUGUCAGGAAUUCCGGGAAGAAUUAGCAGUGAUAAUGGAACACCGUUUGUCUGUGCUGAUCUAAAACAAGUUGGUGAAUAUUUUGGCAUUGACAUGAGACAGCAUCGUGCUUAUCAUCCAGCCAGUGGUGGUGCUGUUGAGCGAGAGAAUGGAACCUUAAAAAAUAAAUUGGCAAAAGGAAACAGGCUUUUCUUGGACAAAGACACUCCCAAUUGUUCUUAUGCAAAUGAGAGCUAGGGUCAGACCAAAAUACGGCCUUAGUCCAUUUGAAAUCCUGUUUGGGUGAGCAGCCAACACAGGCAUUGGACCUGUCAAAAGACAAUUACCGUCCACAGUCCACUGUGAAGAUGAAAUGCUUCGUUACUGUGCUAACUUAUCCUCUUUUCUAUCUAACAUACACAACCAGGUGAAAGAAGCACUACCAACUCUAGUCACAGGACCUCUUCAUGACCUGCAGCCUGGUGACAGGAUAGUAUUGAAAGACUUGAGAAGAAAGGCUUGGCGCUCUAAGCGGUAGACGGGCCCAUUCCAGGUGCUGUUGACCACACAGAUGGCAGUAAAGGUCACUGAAAGAGUCACCUGGAUCCAUGCCAGCCACUGCAAAAGAGUUCCACCUCCACCAGAGACACCUACAACAGAGUAAGUCACCACAGCGCGAUUGGGGACUCUACGAGAGUGUAGGUGGAUUGCUGCUCUCAGGUGACCAACACAAAGACAUCCAUUCACACACCAGGAAGAGAAGUAGAAGUGACAGUAUUGGCAUACUGUCCGACAAGAGCGGGCCAGGCUCCAACUAAGUGAUGUGCUGAGUGAAUCUCAGUGUCACCAUCGUGGGAUCAAUGAUGGAACCCGAACGACAGCCAUGGCAUCCAUUCAGAUGUCCUGGAUGGUGUGGUUUGCGAGGUUCAAUGUGUUCUCUUUUUGUGAUUUAAUUGUUCUCUUAAUUGUGAUUCCAAUCAGCUUCAAUUUAGACAGUCAACAUGCACAAACAAAUACCGAUACAACACCAGGGCCACAACCAGCUAAUGUUACCACAUUGUCGCUUAAAAGCAACCAACGUUUUGCAUACAAAACUCCUUUUGACCACCCUGACUUUAUGAAAAACAAUGCCUGGUUGAUGUACACUAACUACACCACAUGACAGCAUGCUAACCACUCUUGUUUGUUCUGUAUGCCAGCCCGCCCUGAGCUAAUGAUCAUGUCAACUCCACACACCCCACAAACAUCCUGACACUGUUUCCCACACUCCUUGUCUAUAAAAAGCAUGUACACUUUGUAUUUGAUUAUCAGUCUGCAAUUACACUUUUUUGUGACUGUACACUGAUCCCUUGCAAGGUUCUCAUUAAAAGACAUUAAGACAACUUGGUCAUUGUCAGCUUUUUAUUUUUCAGAUUUCCACCACACUCGUGACCCAUUUUCCAUCAAACCAGAGGCAGACUUCUGUGUAAAAGCAAAAGAGGUAAUGUCUUGUAUUGAUGAGAACAUCUUUCAAAUGGAAUUGGUUGAUGUGCAGUCCUCCUUUGCUUUAAAACAGCACUUGCAGUCUGAGGGUGCAGUGGACUUUUGGUCUAAACAUGUUAGCCAAUAUCAGUACCCCACAAUAAGGAAAGUGGCCUUGCUAAUACUGACAAUGUUUGGAUCCACUUACACUUGUAGAGUCUAGUUUUCUCGUAUGAAUGCCAUCAAAACAAGGGCACGUUGUUCCAUGACCAAUGAGAAGUUGCAUGAGUGUCUCAGGAUUGCCCUUACUACUUAUGAGCCAAACUAUGUUGAAAUAGCGAAAUCAAGGCAGUGUAAUUUCUCUCAUUGACUCAAACAGGCUCAAAAUGACAGAAGUCUGAUUUGUAUGGUAGUUCUGUAGUAGUAAAUCACCUGAUUGAGGCAUUUAAUGCCAUCUUAGUGAAAAUGCAAAGACUACAGAUCUGUUUUAUGAUGAUUCAAACAGGCCUACUUAUUGUUAGUCUUGAUACUGUUCAACUGUUUUCACCCUUAACAAAUAUGGAUAUGGACCUGCUAUAAGCACCAUAUGUCUGCUUGGAAUUGUUUUUGAUAGUACCAUGAACAGGCCCAUUUAUUAUUAGUCUGAUGGCUACUGUUUUACUAUGUUCAUCUUGCAUUUAGCAUUUAAGGAUAUGGACCUGUUUUAAAAGCUCCUUAUGUAUGCUUGGAAGUGUUGUUGAGGAUGUUAUAAACAGGCCUACUUACUGUUAGCCUGAUGGAUACUGUUUUACUAUAUUCAUCUUGUUUUCUACAUUUGUGGAUAUGGACCUGUCAGAAAAACACCUCAUGUCUCCUUGGUUUUUAAAUUGUUACUCUUUGCACUUCUGUUUCAAGCUUUGUAACCAUAGCUUUCCUACUUUUUGUAUAGACUGGCUGCUGUCUGGAAUUGAUUGUAAUGAUACAAUUAAAGUGAAAGAAAAGG